UGACAUGCACAGACAUGGGUGCUUAAGUAUACCUGCAUAUACAUGUGUACCUGUGUGUGUGUGUGCAUUUGUGUAUGUGCAUGCAUGCAUGUGUGUGUGAUGUGUGUGUGUGUGUGCGUGCGCGCGUGUGUCUUUGUAACUGCCACCAUGGUCCAGAAUUGAGAAAAGAAGGACUUCUACAAUACUGAGCUUUUCAUAGCAGAGUUAGGAUGCCAGGACCUUCUUGUCUGAGAUUUCAUUGUUUGUUUUAUUCAAUUAUUUAUUUCAUGAUUUUAUGUGUGUUAGUAUUUUGUCUGCACAUACAUAUGCAUGUGCACCAUAUUAAUGCCUGUUACCCACAGAAGUCAGGAGAGGAUGCUGGAUUCCCUGGAACUGGAGUUACAAAUGGUUAUGAACCACUUAUGGGUGCUGGGAAUAGAACCCUGGUCCUAUGGAAGAGCAGCCCAUGCUACUAUCUGCAAAACCAUUUCUCCAGUCUCUCAUUUCUGGUUUUAAAUAACAGAAACUUAACCAGCCUAGCUUGAGUGCACAGGUGUGGCUGUAGGAUGCACAGAGGCAUUAGAAGACAGAGCAUUCACCUCGGGGUGUUAGUUGACCAUUAUCCAGAUGCACCAGUGUGUUAUUUUGGCUAUUGCCUACUGAAGGAUAUUUUGGUUCCUUUCAAAUUGUAUAAUAAAGCUACUAUAUUUUUGGGA
rnacentral:lncRNA from 1 species